ACUCCUACGGGAGCCGGACUUCGCCCCUGACUCUAAUUGCAGGUAGACUUCGCCUAGACUCCUAUGGGAGCCAGACCUCGUCUCCAACUCUGGCUACGGGAAGACUCCGCCCGGACUCCUACGGGAGCCGGACUUCAUCCCCGACCUCGACUAAUGGUAAACUUCAUCCGGACUCCUACGGGAGCUGGACUUUGCCCCUGACUCGAAUUGCAGGUAGACUUCGCCCAGACUCCUACGGGAGCCAGACCUCGUCUCCAACUCCGACUACGGGAAGACUCCGCCCAGACUCCUACGGGAGCCGGACUUCAUCCCCGACCUCGACUAAUGGUAAACUUCAUCCGGACUCCUACGGGAGCCAGACUUCGCCCCUGACUCUAAUUGCAGGUAGACUUCGCCCAGACUCCUACGGGAGCCAGACCUCGUCUCCGACUCCGGCUAUGGGAAGACUCCGCCCGGACUCCUACGGGAGCCGGACUUCAUCCCCGACCUCGACUAAUGGUAAACUUCAUCCGGACUCCUACGGGAGCCGGACUUCGCCCCUGACUCUAAUUGCAGGUAGACUUCGCCCAGACUCCUACGAGAGCCAGACCUCGUCUCCAACUCCGGCUACGGGAAGACUCCGCCCGGACUCCUACGGGAGUCGGACUUCAUUCCCGACCUCGACUAAUGGUAAACUUCAUUUGGACUCCCAUGGGAGCCAGACUUCGCCCCUGACUCUAAUUGCAGGUAGACUUCGCCCAG
rnacentral:lncRNA from 1 species